rnacentral:rRNA from 1 species
UACGUAGGUGGCAAGCGUUGUUCGGAAUUAUUGGGCGUAAAGGGCGCGUAGGCGGUUUGUUAAGUCAGUUGUGAAAGCCCGGGGCUCAACCCCGGAGGGUCGACUGAUACUGGCGGACUAGAGUACGGAAGAGGUAGCUGGAAUUCCCGGUGUAGCGGUGAGAUGCGUAGAUAUCGGGAGGAACACCUGAGGCGAAGGCGGGCUACUGGGCCGAUACUGACGCUGAUGCGCGAAAGCCAGGGGAGCGAACGGG